GACAGAGGGGGCAAGCGUUGCUCGGAAUCACUGGGCGUAAAGGGCGCGUAGGCGGGAUGGCAAGUCGGUCGUGAAAUCCUUCGGCUCAACCGAAGAACGUCGGCCGAUACUGCCGUUCUUGAGGGAUGCAGAGGAGAUUGGAAUUCCCGGUGUAGCGGUGAAAUGUGUAGAGAUCGGGAGGAACACCGGUGGCGAAGGCGGGUCUCUGGGCAUCUCCUGACGCUGAGACGCGAAAGCGCGGGGAGCGAACGGG
rnacentral:rRNA from 1 species